rnacentral:rRNA from 1 species
UACGUAGGGGGCAAGCGUUGUCCGGAAUUAUUGGGCGUAAAGAGCGCGUAGGCGGUCCGAUAAGUCGGCUGUGAAAGUCCAGGGCUCAACCCUGGAAAGCCGGCCGAUACUGUCGGACUAGAGUCCGGAAGAGGCAAGUGGAAUUCCCGGUGUAGCGGUGAAAUGCGCAGAUAUCGGGAGGAACACCAAUGGCGAAGGCAGCUUGCUGGGACGCAACUGACGCUGAGACGCGAAAGCGUGGGGAGCAAACAGG